rnacentral:rRNA from 1 species
AAUGAACGUUGGCGGCGUGGAUUAGGCAUGCAAGUCGAGCGAGAACCAGUCUUCGGAUUGGGGACAGCGGCGAACGGGGUAGGAAUACCUCGGUGACGUACCCCCCGGUCGGGGAUAGCGGCGGGAAACUGCCGGUAAUACCCGAUGACCUUCCUUGAUUUUAGUUUUGGGGAAGCAAAGGUGUGAUUCCGUCGGGGGAGCGGCUGAGGUCGUAUUAGCUAGUUGGUGAGGUAAUGGCUCACCAAGGCGAUGAUGCGUAGGGGGUGUGAGAGCAUGGCCCCCACCACUGGCACUGAGACACUGGCCAGACACCUACGGGUGGCUGCAGUCGAGAAUCUUCGGCAAUGGGCGCAAGCCUGACCGAGCGACGCCGCGUGCGGGAUGAAGGUCUUCGGAUUGUAAACCGCUGUCGGAGGGGAUGAAGUGCAUCGGGGUACUCCCCGGUGUUUGACAGAGCCUCGGAGGAAGCACGGGCUAAGUUCGUGCCAGCAGCCGCAGUAAAAC